GUGCUCACUUUGGCAUCAUGUAUACUAAAAUUGGAAUGAUACAGAGAAGAUGAGCAUGGCCCUGCACAAGAAUGGCACGCGAAUUCACGAAGCCGUCCAUAUUUUU